AAUCGUGAAUGAGAUAGCGAACGAGAGAUGUAAGCCCCGGAUCCACAGUCUGUUGCAUCUUUAAUGGUGCGAUCGAGUUCACUCUGAUCUUAUAAACAGCUAACUCAAUAGCCAUCAUCCUCGUCAUGGUGUCAACACCACCUUUGGAACAAGCAUACGCUAGUCCACCGCGCAACAAACCGCGAUGAAGCCCAGA